GACUGGUCUGAAGGUAGUGAGUUAUCUCAGUUGAUCGUUCAGUUACAGAUUGAACUCCUUGUUCAACUCUUUCCUCCCUUCCUGUUACUGCACUUGACCAGCCUUAA
rnacentral:Y_RNA from 1 species